rnacentral:rRNA from 1 species
UAACACCGGCGGCCCGAGUGGUGGCCACUAUUAUUGGGUCUAAAGGGUCCGUAGCCGGUUUGGUCAGUCUUCCGGGAAAUCUGACGGCUUAACCGUUAGGCUUUCGGGGGAUACUACCAGGCUUGGGACCGGGAGAGGUAAGAGGUACUACGGGGGUAGGAGUGAAAUCUUGUAAUCCCCGUGGGACCACCAGUGGCGAAGGCGUCUUACCAGAACGGGUCCGACGGUGAGGGACGAAAGCUGGGGGCACGAACCGGAUUAGAUACCCGGGUAGUCCCAGCUGUAAACUAUGCUCGCUAGGUGUCAGGGACGGUGCGACCGUUUCUGGUGCCGCAGGGAAGCCGUGAAGCGAGCCACCUGGGAAGUACGGUCGCAAGGCUGAAACUUAAAUGAAUUGACGG